rnacentral:lncRNA from 1 species
AUGCAAAUCAGCUUCCUCCAAUAUUAUUUCGGUGUUUCACCUACUAUCCUAAAGAACAUUAUGCUUCAAAAACCUGACAUCUUAUCUUACCAUUCCUUUUGGCUUCCAGGCUACCAUCUGUGUACCCUCAGGGAGUCAACAAGAGAAGAACAAGGGCCAGAAACCAGAACACAGGUGAAAAGAGGUAAACAGAAGCUUCUUGUUUCUGUAAAGGAAUGUUCAAGCCUCAAAAGCACAAGAGCAAAUGGAGCAAGAGGAAUCCCUUGCCCAAACUAAAAACUGAUAAACCUACAAUUGAAAUGGAUGGAAAAAAAGAGGACACUGACUUUCGAUUCAGGUUCUAAUUCUUGCAGGAUGCAUGUAUUUACUUGAAUUGCCUAGUGAAGGACACUCGCCACAGAUUUGGGAUAAAUCACAGCAGGACAGUUCAGCCUUUGACAAUAUAGAUCCAGAAGGUAUUAUAAUAGCUCAGCUACACAAGUAGCAUGCAAGCAGAAAUCAAACAGAAGACACCCCACAGACUACAUGUUGGGCAGCUCUGAUUAAGAUGGGUGCCACCUUUUUCCUGCAGUUCUCUUCUCCUGUUCAUAUUUAACUUCACUUCUCCUGUUGAUAUUUAACUUCAGAGUACCCAGCUCAGCCACAUGUGAAACUAGUCUUCAGACACUGUUAGCACACAAGGAAUUGUUCCAACAUCGCCUACUAAGUGUUUGUUUCCAGUGACAUAAAGACAACUCUAACAAAAAAACUGGACUUCUUCAUUCGUUCUUAGGAAAGUGGGUCCAACUGAGAUCCUUGGAAGUGGUGUGGGAGGGGGAAAAGACAUCCGGUAGCCACAUGAUGAGGCUUGUUUUGCUGACAGAAGGCAAAUAGAAAUAGGCAAGCUGAAGAAAGUUUAGGUUUGUUUCCUCAGCCUUGUGCAUAAGCCUAGAAUCCAGAUGAAGUAAGCAUGUGCUGAGCACAAGAUUUCACUGAUACAUAAAGAUGUCAUCUCGCUCACAAAUUUUUUUGCUGAGGUUGCUCAGUAUUUCCUAAUGCAGUUAAUAAGGUGAGGUGCUCUAUUUGGGAAUUCUGGCUAGGUUUUUGGAGCAACUUCAACUCUCUCUGGUCAACCAGAGGAAGGCUGUGAGCAGCAGCAGCAAGGCAGCUCUGGCUUCACAGGCUCCCAGUGAUUCACCACGCCAUCCACAGGCUGGUCUGAAGGUCAGCGCAGCAGGCAAAUCCCCAGACUCCAUGUUUCCAUAGAUCCAGCAGCCCUGGAGCCACACUUGUAUAG